rnacentral:rRNA from 1 species
AGCGAACGCUGGCGGCAGGCCUAACACAUGCAAGUCGAACGAACCUUUCGGGGUUAGUGGCGGACGGGUGAGUAACACGUGGGAACGUGCCUUUAGGUUCGGAAUAACUCAGGGAAACUUGUGCUAAUACCGAACGUGCCCUUCGGGGGAAAGAUUUAUCGCCUUUAGAGCGGCCCGCGUCUGAUUAGCUAGUUGGUUGAGGUAAUGGCUCACCAAGGCGACGAUCAGUAGCUGGUCUGAGAGGAUGAUCAGCCACAUUGGGACUGAGACACGGCCCAAACUCCUACGUGAGGCAGCAGUGGGGAAUCUUGCGCAAUGGGCGAAAGCCUGACGCAGCCAUGCCGCGUGAAUGAUGAAGGUCUUAGGAUUGUAAAAUUCUUUCACCGGGGACGAUAAUGACGGUACCCGGAGAAGAAGCCCCGGCUAACUUCGUG